rnacentral:rRNA from 1 species
CAAUAGCGUAUAUUAAAGUUGUUGCGGUUAAAAAGCUCGUAGUUGGAUUUCUGCCGAGGACGAUCGGUCCGCCCUCUGGGUGAGUAUCUGGUUCGGCCUUGGCAUCUUCUUGGAGAACGUUACUGCACUUGAUUGUGUGGUGCGGUAUCCAGGACUUUUACUUUGAGGAAAUUAGAGUGUUUCAAGCAGGCACACGCCUUGAAUACAUUAGCAUGGAAUAAUAAGAUAGGACGUUGGUUCUAUUUUGUUGGUUUCUAGAGCUGACGUAAUGAUUAAUAGGGAUAGUUGGGGGCACCUGUAUUGCGUUGUCAGAGGUGAAAUUCUUGGAUUUACGCAAGACAAACAGCUGCGAAAGCGUCUGCCAAGGAUGUUUNCAUUA